rnacentral:lncRNA from 1 species
UAUAGCACUAUUUUAGAAAUUUAAAUUUAUUUCCAGUUAGAAAACUAUUCGCUGGACUAGCCACCAUCGUAAACCUAACUGGUUGCCGGCGAACGACAUAAAACACCGGGCAUCUUCUUCUUCAUCGUAUUCUCCCUUCAUCUUUUGAGGUAAGCUUGUGAUUAUGAGUUUCUUCUCUUACUUAGCUUGUAAUUAUAGAUUUUGAUUUUUUUUUAAAAUUCGUAUUGUAGCCAUUAUUGUCAAUUUUUGUCCCGCCAGCAAUAUUUUUUUAUUCGUACAAGUUGAAGCCCCUUUGUUCUUGUUCCAUUGGUGAGUUUGCUCACUCAAAUUAAUUUUGUUCUGCGGAAUUUACAAAGUUCAAAUGGAUUCAUUUGAAUUACUAUUGAAUUUAGCUUUAAUUCCAACAUCCAUUCUAAUGUUUUGCUAUUAGAUUUAGUUUAAUUUUAUGUUUAAAGCAUCUACAAUGAAUAGCGGAGCUUGGGUUUUAGUUUCAUUUUCUGGAUAACUUGUUUUAGUUUAUCUUGUAUGGUCACCAAGUGCUUGUUAUAUUGUCUGAUAAGUUAUAUACAUUGCUGAUUCUAUAUUAAUAAUGUUACGUUCUAUUUUCAGAAAUUAUAAUACAAAAGUUUUUACAAUGGCGUGCAUCUACAAACUGAAUUGACUUGUAGAAUAAGAGCUUGGAGUAAAUGAAAGUUCAUAUUGUGUAAGAGCAUGUAGAUGUAAAGCAUCAUUACCAUAUCUACAAAGUGCUUUCAUUAUGUUCAGAUGCUCUUCUUGAACUUUGAAAGGUGCCUCGUUCAAGUCCUAGCUAUAACUACUAGCUUUGAUUAAUUAAGUUCCUAUACUAGCUGAAAUAGAUUUAUUUAAUUAAUUAAUUGUGUAUGUUCUAAUUAUAUUAAAAGUAUAUGAAUUUUUUUUUAACAUGAAUGACUUGUAAAUGACUUAAAAACCUAAAGGAUGUGU